AUUGAACGCUGGCGGAAUGCUUUACACAUGCAAGUCGAACGGCAGCACGGGGGCAACCCUGGUGGCGAGUGGCGAACGGGUGAGUAAUACAUCGGAACGUGCCCAAUCGUGGGGGAUAACGUAGCGAAAGCUACGCUAAUACCGCAUACGAUCUACGGAUGAAAGCGGGGGAUCGCAAGACCUCGCGCGAAUGGAGCGGCCGAUGGCAGAUUAGGUAGUUGGUGGGGUAAAGGCUCACCAAGCCGACGAUCUGUAGCUGGUCUGAGAGGACGACCAGCCACACUGGGACUGAGACACGGCCCAGACUCCUACGGGAGGCAGCAGUGGGGAAUUUUGGACAAUGGGCGCAAGCCUGAUCCAGCCAUUCCGCGUGCAGGAUGAAGGCCUUCGGUUGGUAACUAGCUUUGUUCAGGGAAGGAAAUACUUCUGGGCGUAAUACCUCGGAGGAUGACGGUACCCGGCCAUAAGAAGACACCGG
rnacentral:rRNA from 1 species